CCAAUAUCAUAACAACCAGAGCUCGUUAUAGAUGUUAUGAUGCAAUAUGAUAUGGGUGCCUUCUCAUCAUUCCUUUGCCAAACAAUUUUAGGGGCAGUAUGCAAAAAAAUAAUCUCUCUCUUUCACUCAUAGACUGUAGCCCCUUCAGCUGCACUGAUAAUGCAGAAUUACCAUUCAGAAUUAAUUCUGUCUAAUUUGUUAUAAUGGUAAUCCCCUUUAUAGUAUAAAACUGCAGUGUGAAAAGAGUUGGAAGAUGGGGUCAAAUUUGUUUUGAAACCCAAGAUGUGCAAAUAAGAGAUUUGAAAGUACGGUAGGCUCCAU